CAUAGAAAUGCAUACAGAAAUGGAACUUCCAAGAGGAGAGUGGGGACUUGGAGGAAUGGCUGUGGGCUCUUCUGUUGUACUCAUCUCCAUGGCAGCCAAGUAUCAUACACCUCUGCUGUAUCACCCAAGGCAUGUCCCAUAUUUAGAGGUCUAUGGAGUACACAUGUCUGCUCUUACGAGGACUUCUUCUGAGAGAUCAUCAUGUCCAGGAGAUGAACCACCCUGACCUAAUAGGCUCACCACAGUGAAAUUAAAGCAGACUUCUCCAGGUCUAAAACUGAGGCACCUGGAUUUAUAUUCUACCAGAUAUUACACAAGAGUAGAUUCAGAACUGCUCUAGUGGGUCUCUGGGUGUAGCCAUGAAGGCUGGAAACAUGCUGAUAACUGCCAAGAGUUUUGGUACAGAUCUAUAGGCUACUUACUAAUGCUUUGUAAAGGCUACACACACCAUGCAAUGUGUAGGUUAUUCCCAAGAUGAAUAUUCUUCUUUAUUUUCUGAUAUUUAGGCUAUAUUUUGUCCAU